GAAACAUCGAUUUCCUAAGUAGCGGCGAGCGAACGGGAAAGAGGCCAAACCAGAGAGCAUGCUCUUUGGGGUUGCGGGCCGGCAACAUGUACGUGAAAGUCUAGUGGAAGCGCGUUGGAAAGCGCCGCCAGAGAGGGUGACAGCCCCGUAGACGAAAGGCGGACACGGCUAGCCGGUACCAGAGUACCGCAGGACACGAGGAAUCCGGCGGGAAGCCGGGGGGACCACCCCCCAAGCCUAAAUACGAUAUGGUGACCGAUAGCGCAUAGUACCGUGAGGGAAAGGUGAAAAGAACCCCGGGAGGGGAGUGAAAGAGAACCUGAAACCCUGUGUUUACAAGCAGAGGAAGCACGAUCUAGGUGCGACCUUGUACUUUUUGUAGAACGGACCGGCGAGUUGCGUUAUGUUGCGAGGUUAAGUACUGAAGGUACGGAGCCGAAGCGAAAGCGAGUCUGAAGAGGGCGGUAAGUAACAUGACGCAGACCCGAAACCGGGUGACCUAUCCAUGGCCAGGUUGAAGUGGGAGUACAAUCCCAUGGAGGACCGAACCAGACGUCUGUUGAAAAAGGCGGGGAUGAGCUGUGGAUAGCGGAGAAAUUCCAAUCGAACCCGGAGAUAGCUGGUUCUCCUCGAAAUAGCUUUAGGGCUAGCCUCGUAUUAGAUAACUGGAGGUAGAGCACUGAAUGGGCUAGGGGGCCCAAAGCUUACCGAACCCUAUCAAACUUCGAAUGCCAGGAUAUUGAUGUACGGGAGUCAGUCCGCGAGAGAUAAGUUCCGCGGGCAAAAGGGGAACACCCCAGACCCACUGCUAAGGUCCCAAAGUGCGCGUUAAGUGGAGAAGGAUGUGUGAUUGCACAGACAACCAGGAUGUUGGCUCAGAAGCAGCCAUUCAUUCAAAGAGUGCGUAAUAGCUCACUGGUCGAGUGGUCAUGCGCCGAAGAUGUACCGGGGCUCAAACGCGCCACCGAAGCAUGGGAUUCGCGUAAGCGAGUGGUAGAGGAGCAUUGAAUCAGGGCAGAAGCUGGAGCGAGAGCACCAGUGGACUUGAUUCAAGAGAGAAUGCCGGUAUGAGUAGCGAGAGGCAAGCGAGAAACUUGCCCGUCGAAAGCCUAAGGUUUCCUGGGGAAGGUUCAUCCGCCCAGGGUAAGUCGGGACCUAAGCCGAGGACGGAAGUCGUAGGCGAUGGACAGCAGGUUGAGAUUCCUGCACCGCCUUGAGAAUGAUGCAAUGACACAGAAGGAUAGCAUGAGCCGGGUGAUGGUCAACUCGGUUUCCAAAGCGAGGGCGUCUGGUAGUGAAGUACGCCAGACACACAGCCUGAGCCGAAGAGGGAGCGAAAUUCAAGUAGCGAAGCAUGCGAUUUCACGCUGGCGAGAAAAGUUGCUGGUAUAUCGAAGAGGCGCCCGUACCGCAAACCGACGCAGGUAGGCGAGGUGAGAAUCCUAAGACGAACGGGAGAACCCUUGUUAAGGAACUCGGCAAAAUGACCCCGUAACUUCGGGAGAAGGGGUGCCCAUGGAAACAUCGGUCGCAGAGAAAAGGCUCAAGCGACUGUUUAGCAAAAACACAGGUAUCUGCGAAAGCGAGAGCUGACGUAUAGGUGCUGACACCUGCCCGGUGCUGGAAGGUUAAGGGGAAAUGUCAUCGCAAGAGAAGCAUAGAACCGAAGCCCCAGUAAACGGCGGCCGUAACUAUAACGGUCCUAAGGUAGCGAAAUUCCUUGUCGGGUAAGUUCCGACCCGCACGAAUGGUGUAACGAUUUGAGCGCUGUCUCAACAGGGGGCCCGGUGAAAUUGAAGUAUGGGUGAAGAUGCCCAUUACCCGCGACUGGACGGAAAGACCCCGUAGAGCUUGACUGUAGCCUGAUAUUGGAUUUCGGUAACGGAUGCACAGGAUAGGUGGGAGGCUAGGAAGGCAGGACUCCGGUCUUGUUGGAGCCGCCGUUGGGAUACCACUCUUCUGUUGCUGGAAUUCUAACAUGGCGCCGUGAAACCGGUGAAUGGACAGUGUCAGGUGGGCAGUUUGACUGGGGCGGUCGCCUCCGAAAGAGUAACGGAGGCGCCCAAAGGUACCCUCAGAAUGGAUGGAAACCAUUCAAAGAGUGUAAAGGCAGAAGGGUGCUUGACUGUGAGAGUGACAACUCGAUCAGAUACGAAAGUAGGGCUUAGUGAUCCGG
rnacentral:rRNA from 1 species